UACGAGGGGGGCAAGCGUUGUUCGGAAUUAUUGGGCGUAAAGGGCGCGUAGGCGGUUUCGCAAGUCCGUGGUGAAAUCUCUAGGCUCAACUUAGAGACUGCCGCGGAAACUGCGGUGCUUGAGUGUGGGAGAGGUGCGUGGAAUUCCCAGUGUAGCGGUGAAAUGCGUAGAGAUUGGGAAGAACAUCCGUGGCGAAAGCGCUCUGCUGGACUGCAACUGACAUUGAGGGACGAAAGCUAGGGGAGCGAAUGGG
rnacentral:rRNA from 1 species